GCGGCCCUUUCCCAUGCAAGUCGAACGGUAACAGGUCUUCGGACGCUGACGAGUGGCGAACGGGUGAGUAAUCCCUCGGAACGUGCCCAGUCGUGGGGGAUAACUACUCGAAAGAGUAGCUAAUACCGCAUACGAUCUGAGGAUGAAAGCGGGGGACCUUCGGGCCUCGCGCGAUUGGAGCGGCCGAUGGCAGAUUAGGUAGUUGGUGGGAUAAAAGCUUACCAAGCCGACGAUCUGUAGCUGGUCUGAGAGGACGACCAGCCACACUGGGACUGAGACACGGCCCAGACUCCUACGGGAGGCAGCAGUGGGGAAUUUUGGACAAUGGGCGAAAGCCUGAUCCACCAAUGCCGCGUGCAGGAUGAAGGCCUUCGGGUUGUAAACUGCUUUUGUACGGAACGAAAAAGCUUCUCCUAAUACGAGAGGCCCAUGACGGUACCGUAAGAAUAAGCACCGGCUAACUACGUGCCAGCAGCCGCGGUAAUACGUAGGGUGCGAGCGUUAAUCGGAAUUACUGGGCGUAAAGCGUGCGCAGGCGGUUAUGUAAGACAGAUGUGAAAUCCCCGGGCUCAACCUGGGAACUGCAUUUGUGACUGCAUGGCUAUAGUACGGUAGAGGGGGAUGGAAUUCCGCGUGUACAGAGAAAUGCGUAGAUAUGCGGAGGAAAACCGAUGGCGAAGGCAAUCCCCUGGACCUGUACUGACACUCAUGCACGAAAGCGUGGGGAGCAACAGGAUUAUAUACCCUGGUAGUCCACACCCUUAAACGAUGUCAUCUGGUUGUUGGGAAUUAGUUUUCUCAUUAACACAGCUAACCCUGGAAUUGACCCCUGGGGAAGUAUGGCCCCAGGUUGAAAUCUCAAAGGGAUUUUGACGGGGACCCCCACAACGGGUGGAUGAAUGUUGG
rnacentral:rRNA from 1 species